GAUGAACGCUAGCUACAGGCUUAACACAUGCAAGUCGAGGGGCAGCAUGGUCUUAGCUUGCUAAGGCCGAUGGCGACCGGCGCACGGGUGAGUAACACGUAUCCAACCUGCCGUCUACUCUUGGACAGCCUUCUGAAAGGAAGAUUAAUACAAGAUGGCAUCAUGAGUUCACAUGUUCACAUGAUUAAAGGUAUUCCGGUAGACGACGGGGAUGCGUUCCAUUAGAUAGUAGGCGGGGUAACGGCCCACCUAGUCUUCGAUGGAUAGGGGUUCUGAGAGGAAGGUCCCCCACAUUGGAACUGAGACACGGUCCAAACUCCUACGGGCGGCAGCAGUGCGGAAUAUUGGUCAAUGGGCGAGAGCCUGAACCAGCCAAGUAGCGUGAAGGAUGACUGCCCUCUGGGUUGUAAACUUCUUUUAUAAAGGAAUAAAGUCGGGUAUGUAUACCCGUUUGCAUGUACUUUAUGAAUAAGGAUCGGCUAACUCCGUG
rnacentral:rRNA from 1 species